AAUCACGUUCCUUUUUUUCAAAGUCAAGCAAUCGUUUUAACUCUGUUUCAGUGAACAGUAUCAAGUAUGUAAACUAUGUGUAUAAGGCUGAUCAAAUAACAGCCUUACAUUCUCAGGCAACAUUUCGGGUAAGCAGGUGUCUACAUUACCUCAUAUGAAUUUAUGAAAUAUUUUUAUAUUUCCAAAACUUGAAUCUCCUUUGAAGCCAGACCUUGUAUUUAUAGAUUGAUCCCCCAGUAUGAUGUGCUUGGUGCUGAGUAAGGAAGAAUACUUGUAUCUUCACACUUGCCAUAGGUUCACAGAGGAAUUCCUUCACUGUUAUUAUAAUGAUUUAUUAUAUUCCUUCUAGUUUGACUGACACACAGAAAAAUGAUAUCAUUUACAUGAAUAUAUGGUCCAUAAUUCUAGGUAAUGUGCCCAUGUUAUCUGUUGACCUGGGCCCACUUCCAUUAAGCUGUCUUUGUGCUAAGAGGAUUGAAAUUCCCAUGCGUUAAGAGGAUUGAAAUUCCAAUGCAUUAUCACAGAUUUUAGAGAUUACUUUGUGGAAUGGCUUCCAGCGCAGUGCUCACUUACAUAUGUACUGGGGGCAUGAGUGGCCCAGUUUAAGGCAUAACGGGCUCAAUGUGCAGAGUUACCAUUUUUCGCAAUGACUACAGUUAUCCUAUCUGGGAGUAAGAGCAAGUAUUGUGAUUUCCUAGUUCCUAUGAAUGUUUUUGUGAUACAGACUUCUGAUAGAUGACUUUAGUAUGCAUAAGCUUUGCCUUUUACAUGAAACUCACAGCUGUUUUCAAGACAGACUUCAGCUGUAUCAAUCCCAAGAUGAAGAUCUGGAGCAGAGUAGUCUUUUCCCCAGUGCCAUCCCAGAAUUGCUCCUGAUGCUGAUCAUACCACUGUGUAUGGAUGUUACCUUGUCCGACUGACGCAGAUGUGUAUAUUGUAUGUUAUUCUGCCAUUGUGUGGCAGCUAUUAAAUGAUUACUUAUA